UGGAAGCACUCCGAUGCUGAUGCCGCCU
rnacentral:piRNA from 1 species